rnacentral:rRNA from 1 species
AUACGUAGGGAGCGAGCGUUGUCCGGAAUUACUGGGUGUAAAGGGAGCGUAGGCGGGUAAAGGCAAGUUGGAUGUGAAAGCUAUCGGCUCAACCGAUAGACUGCAUUCAAAACUGUUUUUCUUGAGUGAAGUAGAGGCAGGCGGAAUUCCUAGUGUAGCGGUGAAAUGCGUAGAUAUUAGGAGGAACACCAGUGGCGAAGGCGGCCUGCUGGGCUUUUACUGACGCUGAGGCUCGAAAGUGU